UACGGGGGGGGCAAGCGUUAUUCGGAAUUACUGGGCGUAAAGCGCGCGUAGGCGGCUUCUUAAGUCGGGUGUUUAAUGUCAGGGCUCAACUCUGGCGCUGCAUUCGAUACUGGGAGGCUAGAGUACUCGAGAGGAAAGCGGAAUUCCUAGUGUAGCGGUGAAAUGCGUAGAUAUUAGGAGGAACACCAGUGGCGAAGGCGGCUUUCUGGAGAGUAACUGACGCUCAGAGCGCGAAAGCCAGGGGAUCAAACGGGAUUAGAUACCCCGGUAGUCCUGGCUGUAAACGAUGGGUACUAGAUGUCGGAGGUAUCGAUCCCUCCGGUAUCGUCGCUAACGCAUUAAGUACCCCGCCUGGGGAGUACGCUCGCAAGAGUGAA
rnacentral:rRNA from 1 species